CCCGAAUAUAAGCCCAGUAGACCACUACGUUAUUCAACAUAGACAUUGUUAUUUGAUAUAGCAGAGAAUGAUAUUUAAAAACAUUGUCAUUGUCUUUAUAGCCGACUAUGUGAAUCAAAGCGCGUUUUACAUGUUUAUUUUCCUGUUUAUGACUGGCUUGUUUAUGUCUGACUUGUUUAUUACUAACACAAAAGAUCGUCCAUGUAUAAGCCCCCCCCCCCCCAGCCCCCCCCCCCCUUGUAUAAGCCCAUCAAAAAUCGCUUACGAAAGUAUAUAAGCCCAGGGCUUAUAGUCGGAG